rnacentral:rRNA from 1 species
UGGGGAAUAUUGCACAAUGGGCGCAAGCCUGAUGCAGCCAUGCCGCGUGUGUGAAGAAGGCCUUAGGGUUGUAAAGCACUCUCAGCGAGGAGGAAGGCAUCAUACUUAAUACGUGUGGUGAUUGACGUUACUCGCAGAAGAAGCACCGGCUAACUCCGUGCCAGCAGCCGCGGUAACACGGAGGGUGCAAGCGUUAAUCGGAAUUACUGGGCGUAAAGCGUGCGCAGGCGGUUAUGCAAGACAGAUGUGAAAUCCCCGGGCUCAACCUGGGAACUGCAUUCGAAACUGGCAGGCUUGAGUCUUGUAGAGGGGGGUAGAAUUCCAGGUGUAGCGGCGAAAUGCGUAGAGAUCUGGAGGAAUACCGGUGGCGAAGGCGGCCCCCUGGACAAAGACUGACGCUCAGGUGCGAAAGCGUGGGGAGCAAACA